AACGAACGCUGGCGGCAUGCCUAACACAUGCAAGUCGAACGAGACCUUCGGGUCUAGUGGCGCACGGGUGCGUAACGCGUGGGAACCUGCCCUUAGGUGCGGAAUAACCCCCCGAAAGGGGUGCUAAUACCGGAUAAUGUCUUCAGACCAAAGAUUUAUCGCCUUUGGAUGGGCCCGCGUUGGAUUAGCUAGAUGGUAGGGUAAAAGCCUACAAAGGCGACGAUCCAUAGCUGGUCUGAGAGGAUGAUCAGCCACACUGGGACUGAGACACGGCCCAGACUCCUACGGGAGGCAGCAGUGGUGAAUAUUGGACAGUGGGCGAAAUCCUGAUCCAUCAAUGCCGCGUGAGUGAUGAAGGCCUUAGGGUUGUAGAGCUCUUUUACCCGGGAUGAUAAUGACAGUACCGAGCGAAUAAGCUCCGGCUAACUCCGUG
rnacentral:rRNA from 1 species